GUGCUCACUUUGACAGCAUAUAUCUUAAAAUUGGAGCAAAUCAGAGAAGAUUAGCAUGGCCCUGCAUAGAGAAGAUGCAGAAGUUCAGGAAGCAUUCCAUGGCUUU
ensembl:snRNA U6 U6 spliceosomal RNA